rnacentral:lncRNA from 1 species
GGAAAAGAAGUGGAAAUGGAGUGUGACAUCUGUGGGAUAGCCUUCCUUUCAUCUCCAUGUUAGUUACAGGAAAACACCAUUCCUUCAUUAUUCUCUGUGUUAUCCAUGCAAUAAUUGCAGUUCAGGAGAAAGAUGGCCCAACAAUCUUCCUGGCUUUGAUCUGCUGAACUGAAGAUCCUAGUGGAUUAUAGUUGUAGAACAAAAAUGCCAACAUUCAACUUUCCAGAGUGUGACAAUCUGUGCUUUAUGCAGAGGAUCGUAUCCAUACAAAAACAGAAAACGACAGUGGAAGACACUCUGGAGGAGCAUAGAAUCAUAGAAUGAAUUAAGCCCCUCCAUCAAUCCAUGCUGCAGAGGAGUGGGCAUUCACAGUGAUUCUCCAGAUACCCUUCCUGGUGUGGUUGUUUAUGUCCAAAUGACAACAGACUAGAUGGGGAGCAAUAUGUCACCUUCUCUGGACACUGAUUUCUUCAGAAGGCAUUUUCCUGCAACAUGAAUAUUGGGUUCAAGUCUCCAUUUUUAAUGUGACAGAGUUCGGGCAUGAUGACCAUGGAUUUGGCGUUUGUCCUCGCCUUGUUGAUGCAGACUGUGCAGGAGAAUGCUGAGUUACAUGCAGCCAUGCUUGAACACCUGAAGCAGCGUGAGCUGUUUCUGCAAGAGAAGAUGGCACAGCUGCUGUUGGAGACAGAGCAGCAGAAGCUGGAACAGAGCAAGAUGGACAUGCAGGCCCUUCUCUUCACUGCACUGCAGUGUUGGGCCUUGGC